GGGAAGGUAGCUCAGUGGUAGAGUGCUUGCCUUGCAUGCAUGAGGCCCUGGGUUCGAUUCCCCAGCACCA
rfam:Dipodomys ordii contig_54149, whole genome shotgun sequence.